rnacentral:rRNA from 1 species
GACGAACGCUGGCGGCGUGCUUAACACAUGCAAGUCGAACGGUGAAGCUCCAGCUUGCUGGAGUGGAUCAGUGGCGAACGGGUGAGUAACACGUGAGCAACCUGCCCCUACCUGGGGAUAAGCCCUUGGAAAGGCCGCCUAUAAUGGGAGAGAAGAUGGUGCGCCAGGGGAAUUUUUGGUAAGUUUCUGCGUUGGGGGCUGGCCUGGCGGCUUACCCGCUGGUUGGUGAGGUAAUGGCUAACCAGGGCGACGACGGGUAGCCGGCCUGGGAGGGCGGCCGGCCACACUGGGACUGAGACACGGCCCAGACUCCUACGGGCGGCAGCAGUGGGGAAUAUUGCACAAUGGGCGCAAGCCUGAUGCAGCGACGCCGCGUGAGGGAUGACGGCCUUCGGGUUGUAAACCUCUUUCAGCAGGGAAGAAGCGAAAGUGACGGUACCUGCAGAAGAAGCACCGGCUAACUACGUG